rnacentral:rRNA from 1 species
UAAGACGAACCGUGCGAACGUUAUUCGGAAUCACUGGGCUUAAAGCGCGUGUAGGCGGGCCGGCACGUCGGCCGCUGAAAGCCCCCGGCUCAACCGGGGAAGCGGCGCCGAUACGACCGGCCUGGAGGGGGGUAGGGGGAGCCGGAACUUCCGGUGGAGCGGUGAAAUGCGUUGAGAUCGGAAGGAACGCCCGUGGCGAAAGCGGGCUCCUGGACCCCACCUGACGCUGAGACGCGAAAGCCAGGGGAGCGAACGGGAUUAGAUACCCCGGUAGUCCUGGCCGUAAACCAUGGGCACUGGGUAGGGGGCUCGCCGAUGGGCUCCCUGCCGCAGCGAAAGCGUGAAGUGCCCCGCCUGGGGAGUAUGGUCGCAAGGCUG